rnacentral:rRNA from 1 species
UUCCAGACUCCUACGGGAGGCAGCAGUGGGGAAUAUUGCACAAUGGGGGAAACCCUGAUGCAGCGACGCCGCGUGAGUGAAGAAGUAUUUCGGUAUGUAAAGCUCUAUCAGCAGGGAAGAAGAUGACGGUACCUGACUAAGAAGCCCCGGCUAACUACGUGCCAGCAGCCGCGGUAAUACGUAGGGGGCAAGCGUUAUCCGGAUUUACUGGGUGUAAAGGGAGCGUGGACGGCGGCGCAAGCCAGAUGUGAAAGCCCGGGGCUCAACUCCGGGACUGCAUUUGGAACUGUGUGGCUGGAGUGUCGGAGAGGCAGGCGGAAUUCCUAGUGUAGCGGUGAAAUGCGUAGAUAUUAGGAGGAACACCAGUGGCGAAGGCGGCCUGCUGGACGAUGACUGACGUUGAGGCUCGAAAGCGUGGGGAGCAAACAGGAUUAGAUACCCCCGUA